rnacentral:rRNA from 1 species
UACGUAGGGGGCAAGCGUUGUCCGGAUUCAUUGGGCGUAAAGAGCGUGUAGGCGGCCAGGUAGGUCGGUUGUGAAAACUGGAGGCUCAACCUUCAGAGGUCGACCGAAACCAUUUGGCUAGAGUCCGGGAGAGGAGAGUGGAAUUCCUGGUGUAGCGGUGAAAUGCGCAGAUAUCAGGAAGAACACCGGUGGCGAAGGCGGUUCUCUGGGCAUGAUCUGACGCUGAGGAGCGAAAGUGUGGGGAGCGAACAGG